rnacentral:rRNA from 1 species
UUGAACGCUGGCGGCAGGCCUAACACAUGCAAGUCGAACGGUAGCACAGAGGAGCUUGCUCCUUGGGUGACGAGUGGCGGACGGGUGAGUAAUGUCUGGGAAACUGCCUGAUGGAGGGGGAUAACUACUGGAAACGGUAGCUAAUACCGCAUAACGUCGCAAGACCAAAGAGGGGGACCUUCGGGCCUCUUGCCAUCAGAUGUGCCCAGAUGGGAUUAGCUAGUAGGUGGGGUAAUGGCUCACCUAGGCGACGAUCCCUAGCUGGUCUGAGAGGAUGACCAGCCACACUGGAACUGAGACACGGUCCAGACUCCUACGGGAGGCAGCAGUGGGGAAUAUUGCACAAUGGGCGCAAGCCUGAUGCAGCCAUGCCGCGUGUAUGAAGAAGGCCUUCGGGUUGUAAAGUACUUUCAGCGGGGAGGAAGGCGAUACGGUUAAUAACCGUGUCGAUUGACGUUACCCGCAGAAGAAGCACCGGCUAACUCCGUGCCAGCAGCCGCGGUAAUACGGAGGGUGCAAGCGUUAAUCGGAAUUACUGGGCGUAAAGCGCACGCAGGCGGUCUGUCAAGUCGGAUGUGAAAUCCCCGGGCUCAACCUGGGAACUGCAUUCGAAACUGGCAGGCUUGAGUCUUGUAGAGGGGGGUAGAAUUCCAGGUGUAGCGGUGAAAUGCGUAGAGAUCUGGAGGAAUACCGGUGGCGAAGGCGGCCCCCUGGACAAAGACUACGCU